UUGUUUUGAAUCGGAAUAUUCUAACCGUCCACGCCGCCACAGCACGGAAGCGAACGUUUCCAUCCGUGUGUACCGGGACGAAAUAUACUCAACCAUCUGACUUUUUAUUCCAAAUCAGGCCGAGAAACUCCUGAAAGCGAUCAAGCAGCAUUAUCAACAAGAACAGGACAAAGAGGAGGAAGGGCAGGUACAAGAGAAGGAUGUUACUGCUGCUAAAGAAGAUGAGACUGACCGUGGUGAUGAACAUGAAGACGCAUCUCGUGAGGAAGAGGUUCCCAGCUCCGCUGUGUUUGUUAACACACGUCGGAGUAACAGAACCAGUACCAAGAGAAAGCUCCCUGGUGCUGUAACAGCCACUCAGUGUGAUGCUGCAGAGCCAUUGGUCCAGUGACUCUGGGGUCUCAGAUGAGUCAGGUUACGUGAGCUGACGUCGCCGACGAUGCAAAAUCGUUGAACCGACUUCAAUAAGAGAUUUUGAGAUUUCAGAAAUUGUUGCGAUAACAUGUGUCCCAAAAGCCUCUCAGACCAAGCUGCUAAAGAGAGUGCAUAUAUGAAAAGCUUUAAAAGCAAUGUUUGCACAAAGCUGGAACUAGGAUAACUUAACUGUUCAAUCAUAUGAA